GAAGGACUGCAGCUCAGUGGUAGAGCAUCUGCUAUGAAUGCAGGUCCCAGAUUCAAUCUCUAGGAUCUUCG